GCAAGAGAGAGGAGUAAAGAUACAAAAUCAUAGACUUCAAUUUAAACAUAUAAGUUUAAGGGUGUCACUUAUUUAGAGAGUGAAUUAGUGAGAAAAAAAGGAACAAGGAAGUGUUCAUGGUGUUUAUGAUGAAAAGAUGAUGAUCAUGAUGGAGAAAAUAGAAACUAAUCUAAACAACCAAGAUGAACAGUAUACGCUGGUAGUUUACAAACCAACUCCUCUACUAGUACAUUGGAAUGAAAGGGAAGAACAACGACUAGUGUUGGAUAUGGUUGGUUGGGAAUUGGCGGAAAACGGUUAUGAAUCGGAACCGAGCUUCCUCAGAGGUCAUUUGAGGUACUCCCAUCCUUAUAUUGUACGCCCGGCCGCCGAAACAGUGCCUCCACAAGCAGAACCUCCCUCCACUACUCCUGAAAAACUUACUGUACCCGUACUUCAAAAGACCCUCACGUUGGUGGAAAAUUGGGAAACUGGUUUAAAUGCAAGAACAAGAAAGGAGAGGUGCUGACCCCGGCAGAAAUGAAGACAGUCGAGGAAAAGAUAGACAAAAUUGAAG